UACCUUCUAGCAAAAGAUGCUGGGUCCACCAAUGGCACAGUGAUCCAGUUAGACUCUCCUGUGUUCAAAGACGGAGGCAUCUGUAUCGACUACAGAUUGUUCCAGAAGGGUCCCGGUUCCUACCUAGACAUCAUGGUGUCCGGGCCACGCUUUUCAUACCAAAGUGUUAGCACAACUAAGGGCCAGGACAACAACAAGUGGUUUCACCACAGGCUGAUGGUCAACUUGCCGUCAGGAUACGAGUUUAAGUUGACCUUUGAGGCUCACACGAGUGGUCAAGACCUGGGCCUUGAUGACCUGCUCGUGUACAAAGGCAAAUGCAUCUAAACUUCUGGCACAGAUUUCAUCCAGCAGCCUCCAAGAAAACAGGAUUCUUUGACCACAGCAGCUGCUGUACUGGCUGUAUGUAAUUUGCAUUGUCGCUCACCCUGACGAAUGCUUAAGAAAGAAUAAUUCAACAUUCAAUUGUCUCUUGACUCUUGCACUUUAAACAAAAUUACAUGUAUAUUGGUGGUUUGGAGAUCUCCGAACUUAGAAUUCAUUAAAUUCAUAAAUUAUGGAUGUUUCAAUUUAUAGUUUCAACAAAUUUGGUUAUUUGAGUAAAGUAGCCUACCGUAAUUUUGCUCAAAAUUAAAAAAACAAAAACAAA